CAGAAUUGCAGCUUCCUGCGGGAGCUGCAGAGACAGUAACCAGAAACAGAGGCCGCCAGAAGAGAUCCAACCCAGCUGCUGCCACCCAGGAAGAAAUCCUAUAUGCUUCAGUGGAGAAAAUGAAACCUGAGGAUGGUGUCAAACUGGACAGUUUGGUGAGGUCCCUGUCCCCGUUUGCAGUGCUAAGAACUUAGGUCCUAGUUUAGUCCAGGCUGCCUUCUUUUUCCUCCCUCGCUUGGCCCUCAACAUCAUCCAUAGCUGACGACUCCCUUCUGCAACUACCUGGCUCCUGUGUGUUAUGGCCUCACUCUGCCCUAGGUUUUUGGAGUCAUGGGUCUCACAGCUGCUGUCUGCUUUCUGACUCCUUGGCAUCUGUCCUGUUGUCAUCUGAGGGGGCAGCCCUGAUGGAGAAGCCCACAGAAACAGCUAAGGGACCAGCAUCUGAAGGCAGGAACCAAAGGAACUUGGGCAGACAUAUGGGUUUUAGUGUUAUAUACUGUUGUUUUGGAGGGGUGCCUUCACUUUUUCUCUGCACCACACACCUGCAUGAUGCUCCCAGAGGCCAGAAGAGAGUGUCAGAUACCAUAGAACUAGAGUUACAGAUGAAUGUAGGUCACCAUGUGGGUUCUGGGAACCAAACCUGGGUCCUCUGCAAUAGCAGUCAGUGCUCUUAACCACAGAGACAUCUCUUCAGAUCCCAGAUAAGUGUUUUCAGGAAGAUGGACUCUGUGGAUACAGCCAAGACAGCAAGAAAUAUUCAGAGUGUCAGGAUAAGAGGCCAAAACUGUAGGAGGGAAGCCCAGGAAGACCCCUCGGGAAUGCUAUCGCAUAAAGGGGUCACUCUGGCCAUGCUGUGGAAAACUGGCUGGAGAAAAGUCAGAGGGGAACAGGGGAACAUUAUCUGUACCUCACUACUCAGUUUGGACACUCAGUUUGGCCCUGUACUCCCCCUGCCUUCAGCACCCUGUAAGUCAAGCACGUACCUUCCUCUCACUCUCUCCCCCUCCAGGCUGCUGAAUCCAAAGAGCCCCGAGAUGUGGUCUAUGCCCAGCUGUGCAGCAGGUCACUCAGACAGGGGACAGCUGGACCUCCUCCCUCCCAGGCAGGAGAAGCCCCAGAGGAGCCCACUGUAUAUGCUGCUCUGGCCGUCACUCGACCAAGUCCUGUUCCCAAUAACAAGGAGCAAUGACCCUCUGCCUGCCAGGAGGCCUACAAAACCUCCGAGGGAUUCUGUGGACUUUUGGGAACCUGGCUGCAUUUUAACUAAUGUUAUACCAUUUGGAAAUAAAGCAGAU
rnacentral:lncRNA from 1 species